rnacentral:rRNA from 1 species
ACGGAGGGUGCAAGCGUUAUCCGGAUUCACUGGGUUUAAAGGGUGCGUAGGUGGGUUGGUAAGUCAGUGGUGAAAUCUUCGAGCUUAACUCGGAAACUGCCGUUGAUACUAUCUGUCUUGAAUACCGUGGAGAUGAGCGGAAUAUGUCAUGUAGCGGUGAAAUGCUUAGAUAUGACAUAGAACACCAAUUGCGAAGGCAGCCUGCUACACAAUUAUUGACGCUGAGGCACGAAAGCGUGGGGAUCAAACAGGA